GACCCCAUCGUCUAGAGGCCUAGGACGUCACCCUUUCAAGGUGAAAACACGGGUUCGAAUCCCGUUGGGGUCGCCA
rnacentral:tRNA from 1 species